GAUGAACGCUAGCUAUCGGCUUAACACAUGCAAGUCGAGGGGAAACGGCAUUAUGUGCUUGCACAUUUUGGACGUCGACCGGCGCACGGGUGAGUAUCGCGUCUCCAACCUGCCCUUUACUUGCGGAUACCCCGUUGAAAGACGGCCUACUACCCGAUGUCAUUCAUUGAUGGCAUCAGAUAUGCAUAAAAGAUUUAUCGGUAAAGGAUGGGGAUGCGUCUGAUUAGCUUGUUGGUGAGGUAACGGCUCACCAAGGCGACGAUCAGUAGGGGUUCUGAGAGGAAGGGCCCCCACAUACGAACUGGGACACGGUCCAAACACAUACGGGAGGCAGCAGUGAGGAAUAUUGGUCUAUGGGCGCAAGCCUGAACCAGCCAAGUAGCGUGCAGGAAGACGGCCCUAUGGGUUGUAAACUGCUUUUAUACGAGAAUAAUUUGAAGCACGUGUGCGUUAUUGCAUGUAUCGUAUGAAUAAGGACCGGCUAAUUCCGUG
rnacentral:rRNA from 1 species